ensembl:lncRNA LINC01876 long intergenic non-protein coding RNA 1876
AGACUGCUGUGCUAGCAAUCAGCGAGACUCCCUGUGAGUAGGACCCUCCGAGCCAGGUGCGGCUUAUAAUCUCGUGGUGCGCCGUUUUUUAAGCCGGUCGGAAAAGCGCAGUAUUCGGGUGGGAGUGACCCGAUUUUCCAGGUUGAUUUUUGAGUAGUGAACCAGCUUUGCAUUCCUGGGCAAUGCUUCCACACAGGACAUAGUUCAGAAGGCAUUAGAAGGCAUAGAGUAAAAAGAAUCUUGUUCUGUUGUUUAGGCUGGAGUGCAGUGGCGUGAUCUUGGCUCACUGCAACCUCUGCCUCCUGAGCUCAAGUGAUCCUCACACUUCAGCCUCCUGAGCAACUGAAACUACAGUGAAUAAGAAUGGUCUUCUUACAUAAUGCAGGGAUGGAAGAAGAUACUUGGAAAAAUCAGGGAAGAGUGAAGAAGAUACUUCAAAAAAUCGGGGAAGAUUUUCAUCAUAAGGUCCAAGCAAAGAUUCCUGAGCCUGAGUCUACUGACAAAUAUACCACAUCCCCAGAGUAAGUUGGAGUCUCUUAAAAUUGUCUUGCUGGCAUCUAGCGGAGAUUGUCCCCACAAGCAUGUUCCUUAUGACGGAUGCCUGGGUCAGAACACAUAAUACAUUCCUUUUUAUAAGCACAAAGAUUCUGAGAAGCACUGCCCCUCCCACGUGUCACACUCUGGGGAGAGAUUAUUGGAAUGCCUCUUGGAUCAGGUAUCUUUGGUGAUCAUUCCACCUAGUUAAGAUGAAGCUGGUGAUAGCCUUUGGCUUGUUUCAGGUAAUGUAACCAGAUUUUCCAGUGACUUGUGAAUUAACAGGCUAAAAACUAGUUUUCAGUUUCUGGAGAAGGGUUCCCAAUCUCAUUUGAGGCUAUUGGAGGAAAAAUCCCUUCAGAAAAUAAAGCAUGACAGUAAGAUUUUAGUAUGCAGGAAGUAAAUUCAGUUCCUUUGGAGAUCAGCAUGCCUCUAUUCAAUCCUCUCCUUAAUCCCUUAUGAGUCAGAUCUAGUAGAGGGUUGGACCAGGAAAUUGAGUGUAGGGUUAUAGGUGAUAAGAUGAGGAGAGGCACUCCCCUCAGGAGUUAAGAUGCAGGAAAUUUGGUUUGCACUUUAGCCAGUACAAGGCAUUUCACCAGGAUGGAGAAUAUGUGCUCUCUUGCACAGAAAUCCGUGCCAGCAGUAAGUGAUGUGGAAGGAUUUAGUGAAAUUUUGCCAAUAACCCCAGGCUUACUGCUUAAUGAACAGAACAUUCUCCUGGGACUUGAAGAGGUCCUAUGAAAUAAGGGACAUAAAUGAUGUACUUUCUUUUCUGUUAGGCUUAAGAAAUUCUGUUCUGAGUGCAAAUAGAGGGAAUGAUUUCCGACUUUCCUAUUAGAUAGCAGAUAUCUUUGCAUCUUGGAUACAUUUAGAAAGAAUAGAAAUGUGAAUGAUUGAAACCUAGUCAGUCAAUUGAUUUAUUAGAAUUCCUGGAAGAAGUCUGAGUAAACACAAUCUCAUUCUCUUUCUUUUUCUCUCUGUCAGUUCUUCUUCUUGGGUUCCUAUACUAUGGGAUAUAAAUGAAACAGUGCAAUGUAAAACUAGUAUAAUGAUGGUCGAGAGUAGGUCCCCAAUAAAUCUUGGUUAUUACUGUUAUUGGAGAGAAUGAUGAAAUUUAAAGCUAGUGGGGGAAAAAGAAUCGUACAAACUGGAAAUGAAUUGGAAUGAGUGUUGCUUCAGGUUGCCCUCAAUUUGGUAUCAGUACCCUCAGUAAAUCAGAGUUGCUGUGACCUGGGCUUUGAUGUAAGGGUAGCAGAAUGAUUUAGAAAAAACAGCAUUAGAUUAAAAGCCAGAGACAUAUUAUAGUCCUAGUUCUUUCGCUUACUAGAGAUUUGACCUUGAAAAGCUUAAUUUGUUUAAAUCCCGUUUCCUCAUCUGAAAAAUGAAGACUGAUGAUAUCUGUCCUAACUCCAUCUUGUGAUGAUCCAAUGGAAUAAAGUGCUGUCAAAA